UGAAUGUUUGGGAAUGAGAGGAUAAAUGAGUGAUGCUUGAAAACAGACCACAUUGAAAAUCCUGCCACGGCAGCAGCUGCAGCCACCAACAGCAGUGGUGUUAGUGACCUAAGUAAGCACCGACUUCGUAGAAACCAGAACAUCAGCCAUCUUGGAAAAGAGAAAAACAAUGGAGUUACUUAUUUAAGAAAAACAAAAAACAAACAAACAAACAAAAAACACAACUAUUUCUUCCCAGGAGAGGCUAGAAGUAGCUUUUCUGCCUUCUGGCCGGAGCCAAUUGGAAUGACUGGUUUGGGAGAGGAGGAGGGGUUGUGUCAGCUGUGGUGCUUUGUUGUAAAAGGCAGCCUGACCUUUGCUACUGAGGAGAAAGAUGGAGCCGAGUCUCAAGCCCACCUUCUCUGUAUCUUUGCCACGUGGUACUGUAUGCCUGCCAGCUAGAAGGAAGAAUGUGAGCUCUACAGUGUCAGGCGUCUUGGAACUGGAUCAUGGCUCUGGAGCUCUACAAUCAGCAUGAGGCAAAGCCAGAUAAGCCUGCGACCUGCUCUUCAGGGUGGUGAGAUCCUCCAGACUCCAGCACCCAGAGAUGCUCUCCUGAGGCCCAGACCACCACUGCCAGCCAUGGAGGAGGAGUGGCGUUGGCGAUUCAGGACUGCUUUUUCUGUCUCUUCAGUGCCUCUCUCAGCAACAUGAAGGUAAAAACCAGGUUACACCUGUGGCCACAUGGAGGAGUCCUAAAUGACCAACUGAAGGAGAAGCAAAAAACCGAAGCAUGGCUUAUAAUGGGCCUGCUCAGUGUUUAGGCGCCAGCCAAAAAUGGGCAGCAGCUACCUUGCAGCCACACUCCAGGGUGAACUUGCAAGACUUCAACAAAUGGUACAUCUGGUCAGGUACUUUGUGUAGAAGGAAAAAUGAUCUGAGGUGUAAAACCAAGCUGUAGCCCAACCACCUGGGGAACAUGUUUUCAAGACCUCCUGCUGUUGUAUCAUAAGUCAUGCUCCUCAAAUUUGGCUCAGAAUAAAUCUCUUCAAAUAUUUUACA
rnacentral:lncRNA from 1 species